UAUAUGGGAAAGGUGUUUAUUACGUAAGGAAGUGUUUGUAAUGACUCCUAAACGCAUCCUUGAUUAGAGCGAAGGGCGUGAGAGAUCGAAGAAGCUGUCGACGCUGUAGGGAAGGUUUUAGUAUGAGAGAUGUUUAUUACGAAGGGAAGAUGUUCAUAGCGUAGGACAGGUGUUAUUACGAAGGGAAGGCGUUCAUAGUGACUUCCUCAACGCUUCCUGGGUAGAGCGAAGAAGCGGCUGACGACGUGCGAGUGUUUAUACUGGGAAGGGAACGUAAUGAUGAUGACGAUGAUGAUGAUAGUACUGAUAGUUGUAGUUACGCUGGCGAGUUGUUUUUAUUGUAUUAAUACGAUGGGGGGCGGGGUGAGGGGGGCGGGGCGGGAGGCAGACAGAUGUGUGUGCGUGUGUGUGUGUGUGUGUGUGUGUGUGUGUGUGUGUGUGUGUGUGUGUGUGUGUACCCCCUUAACCCCCCCCCCCACGCUCCGCCCCCCCGCCCCCCGCCCCCCGUGCUCUAGUCUUAGUGAAGCUGUUGUUGAUUUUCUCUUGUUGUGUCCCCGUAGCAGCGUGCGUGCGUGCGUGCGCCGCCAGCCACGAGGCGCCGGGAGCCGCGGGUCCUUGUCUGUCUGUCUGUCUGUCUGUCCUCCACAACGGCUCAAUUUCAUACGGUAGAGACAUCGAAUAGUGCACUAGUCGGGGGCCCCGCCCCCUCCCGGCCCGGGGAGGCAGCCCCUUAACGACCCCCUCCCCCCCGCCCCCCCGUCCCCUGUCCCCCCUCCCCCCCCCCCCGGCCGGCCGUUGCAUCACCGCCAGUAUUAUUACCCGUAACGCAUUGUUGACCGGCCGCGCCGCCGCCGGCCUGUCCAGCCUCGCCCCGCCCCCCGCCCCCCCUAGGAUGACUCUAGGUGUAUGUGUACUGUUCCCCCCCCGCCCCCUCCUCCCCUCCCCCCGUUUGAGGCACUGACAUCAAAAUUGUUGACUCUAGAGUAUUAGUGCUACUUUUCUAUGCCCCCCCCCCUCCCCCCCCUGGCGAGGUGGCACUUUGGCCCCCCCGCCCCCCCCAGGGCACCCCACGACCUAGUGCCGCCUCCGAGGGGGUGUUAUGAAGCUUCUGUCCACCUGUCACCCCCUCCCCCUCUCCCCCUUCCUGUCCUCCCCUUCCUUUCCCAUCCUAACCAAACAGUUUUAUUCCCCUCCUUCCGUCCCUCUCUUCCUCCCUUCCCCCUUCCUCCCCACCUCCCCAAUGCGUCCCUCCCCAUCCUUCCACACAUCUUCCCCCCCAAAAAUACUCCACCCCCCACCCCCCAUCCACCGCACCACCACCCCCACCCCCACCAGCUAGGUCAGAGUUCACGUGUGGGGGCGCUGGUGGGGUCAAGGUCCCUGGUGGAGGGGGGGGCAUGGAGUGAUAACAGGUCAACCCCCCUACACCCAUCCUCCCCCUCCCCCCCACCACCACUUCGCUCAACCUUUCUAGAGAGAAUAUUCCCUAAAAAAUGAUAUUGUUUGUUCUUUUUUUUUCCUUUUCCGCGCAGUUUUAAGACCGCAAGUAAUUAUUAUAUCAUCACUAGUUUGCUUACUCGUGACAUAAAAAAAUAACAUAAAUACAUAAAAUAUUUGACUUUAUAUAUAUAACUUAACUUCUAGGGACAGACAAAGCUACAUACAUACAUACAUACAUCUCGAGUGAUCGAUACAGGCGAAAGGGUUAUUAUAUUGUAUGAUAGGUAUGUAUACAGACUCAACUAUGUAUUGUGUUGAUAUCAUUAAACUAUUUAUACAAUGCA